rnacentral:rRNA from 1 species
UACGUAGGUCCCGAGCGUUGUCCGGAUUUAUUGGGCGUAAAGCGAGCGCAGGUGGUUUAUUAAGUCUGGUGUAAAAGGCAGUGGCUCAACCAUUGUAUGCAUUGGAAACUGGUAGACUUGAGUGCAGGAGAGGAGAGUGGAAUUCCAUGUGUAGCGGUGAAAUGCGUAGAUAUAUGGAGGAACACCGGUGGCGAAAGCGGCUCUCUGGCUGGUAACUGACGCUGAGGUGCGAGAGCGUAGGGAGCAAACAGG